AUCGUCCUUCCUCAAGACCUGAACCAAAGUCAGAGAAUCAAGCUCAACAUCAACCUUUCGAAACCCCUCCAUCCAACAGAUCUCCAACUCAACUAAAGCCCCCCAUAUUUGAGCUUCAAACACACUGCCAUAGCCAAUGUCUUUGCAAUAACCCACCAACCAUCUCCCUUCCUCAUCUCAAACCACACCGCAACACCUUAUCCUCUUCUCCAAACCCUUACAAGCUCUAUCAGAGUUUUGCUUUACCCACCCUCCCUUGGUGGGAACCAUCUUAUGAAGCUUCCCACUUUACAUCCACCCAAAUCCCCUCCAACCUCUUCCAUGGCCUAUUUCAUAUUCUUGACAAAACCCAAAAUCCGAUGACAAUACCCAUUAAUAUUCAGAGGUUUGCUUAGCUCGCCAAAGAUUUUCCUGUUCCUCUCUUUCCAAAUCACCCAGCAUGUACCUCCAAAUACUAAGUACCGAGGAAGACCACCGCUCUUCUCCCUUCGGCAGGAUAAAUUUAGAAGUAACCAAUCUCUCAAUUCUAGGGAAAAAAACCCCGACUUCAACUUACUAGGGGAUGGAAGAAGACAUCAACAGCAUAGGUAAGAAGAGAAAGAAAUCAUCAAGCAAACCUCCAAUAAUAGCAAACCAACUACUCGGCCUUCACACACGAAAAGAAGGGAGGAGGAGAUCGUGGUUCCAUCAAGCUUUCAGCAGCAGUAUUUUUUUACUGCACUCACACAUACUAGUAAACAAGAGAAGAAAGAGAAAGGAAGAGUGGAAGAAACAAAAGGCCUGACCGAGAUGAAUGACAGAGGAAGAAGAAUGGAGAGUAAAGGUUGGUGGAAGCUUGAAGAACUCUCUUUCUCUCUCGCGCUCAUUCACUCUGCUUUUGUCUCUCGUUCGCUUUGUUUCUGUCUCUUUUUAUCAACAAAGAGGAGGAAGAUUUAAGUAAAAAGACAAUGGAGAACAAUUACAAAAAAGACCCAAGAUUAUUGAUAAAAUUACAAAAUAAUACCCACCAGAUUUUUAUUUUUA